AAAAUUGUACGUUGUGGCCAUUUUGAGAUAUAAAGGCUAGUGGAUGUUAGUGAUGUCUGUUAUGCGUUUAAUUAAUAAAAUUUAAAAGUAAUGGCAAUAAUAGGCUGAAAAGGUGUAGAAAUAACAUUUUGCAGCCCUGGAGGUAUAUCGGGGAAGAAAUUGCUGUUCUCAGUGUCGAGUUUCUGAGUUAGCAGUGGCCCGUAGUAGCUUCCUCUCCGUCCGCCCCCAUCAGCUGUGCACCAUUAUGUGAAGCCUUUGUUUGAAAGUCCUGGAGAGAUGCCAAUGAAGAAACUGCCAUGACAGGUGAACAGUCACCCCAUGAGGUCUGUCACACUGCAUACGAAUCAGUUAAGACCUCUUCAGCUUCAGAGUAAGGCAGCAGCAGGCCAUCCACACAUCCAGCUGCAGAGGAAGUAUGAGCAGUUGCUGCACUGAAGUUCACCUAAUCCUUCCAGCUGCACCAUUGCCCUGGAGUUGACUCAGCCUCUGACACUGAUGAGUCCUUCAGCUUCAGAUCAAGGAAGGAGCUACCUAUAAAGUUCCUCUUCCCCACUGCACAGGAACACUUGGAAGAAUUUCUUUUAUUAAAGACGUGGCAUCUGUGAAGAAAGAGCUGUUCCCAGUGAUGGCUGUCAUUGGUCUGAGAGUGAGCAGGUACCAUUCAUCGCUUGAACUGAAUACUGUUACAGAGGAGCCCCAGUACUAAACAUAUGUCACAUCAUCAUCAUAGGAGGACUAUGAGAAUUAUUAGAGCAUCGAUGCUGCAGAGGAUAUGUACUGGGUGCCAGCAAAAAAUGGUGCGUUUCGAGAUAGUGCGCAACAAGAACUUCAACUCUCAUCAGCAAUAAAACAAAUCAACAUAACCACUUUAUUCACAAACAAUUGCUACACUAAAUUAUAACUGUUAAUUUCUCUUUGAUUUGUGUAUACACAAUGUGUUGAAGCAAAGAAUUCAUGUAAAUAUAUCACAACUUUGUAAUUCCAAAAUGUAUUCCUUUAAUUACACAUGCAAGGAGGAAGUCAAAGAGAACUUACUGCAUAUUUGUUCAAUAUGCUGCUGUUGAAAUUUGAAGUCCAGUGUGCGCACUAUCUCGAAACGUGCCAUUUUUCAUUGCGCCUCUGCACAUAUCCUCUCCAAUGCGUAGCUGUCCGUACUUCCCACUGUGCUCUCCCCAACCUGCAAAGAGACAAAACAAAAUUAGAAUAAUAUAUUUUUAGCAGCAACUUGUAUCCCCCAUCUUGAGUGACCUGCACUCACUGAGUACAGAACCCUCAAGAUGGGGGAUACACUCCUUAACACAAAAAUAAAAACAUUAAUAAUACA